UACGUAGGGGCCGAGCGUUGUCCGGAGUUACUGGGCGUAAAGCGCGCGCAGGCGGCGCACCGCGCCCGGCGUGAAAGCCCCCGGCUCAACCGGGGAGGGUCGUCGGGGACGGGUGCGCUUGAGGACGGCAGGGGCAGGUGGAAUUCCCGGUGUAGUGGUGAAAUGCGUAGAGAUCGGGAGGAACACCCGUGGCGAAGGCGGCCUGCUGGGCCGAUCCUGGACGCUG
rnacentral:rRNA from 1 species